CAGUAGCCACGGUAAUACGUAGGUGGCAAGCGUUGUCCGGAAUUAUUGGGCGUAAAGGGCUCGCAGGCGGUUUCUUAAGUCUGAUGUGAAAGCCCCUGGCUCAACCGGGGAGGGUCAUUGGAAACUGGGAAACUCGAGUGCAGAAGAGGAGAGUGGAAUUCCACGUGUAGCGGUGAAAUGCGUAGAGAUGUGGAGGAACACCAGUGGCGAAGGCGACUCUCUGGUCUGUAACUGACGCUGAGGAGCGAAAGCGUGGGGAGCGAACAGGAUUAGAUACCCCUGUAGUCCCUGUCUCUUAUAC
rnacentral:rRNA from 1 species